rnacentral:rRNA from 1 species
AAAAACAUGUCCUUUUGAUUAUAAUUUAAGGUCUAAUCUGCUCAAUGAGGAUUUAAAUUGCCGCGGUAUUUUGACCGUGCAAAGGUAGCAUAAUAAUUAGUUUUUUUAUUGAAAGCUGGAAUGAAUGAUUGGACGAGAGAGUAGCUGUCUCUAUUAAAUUUAUUUUUGAAUUUAACUUUUGAGUAAAAAGGCUCAAAUUUUAUUUAAAGACGAGAAGACCCUAUAGAGUUUAAUAUUUUAUUUAAUAAGAGGGUUUUGGUCAUAAAUUUCUUUUAUUAAAUAAUUUAUUUAGUUGGGGUGACUAAAAGAUUAAAUAAACUCUUUUAAAAAUUAUUAAUCAUUGAUUUAUGAAUAAAUAAUCUAGUUUUUCUAAAUAUAAGAUAAAUUACCUUAGGGAUAACAGCGUAAUUUUUCUUUAGAGUUCUUAUUGUAAGAAAAGUUUGCGACCUCGAUGUUGGAUUAAAAUUAGUUUUUGGUGCAGAAGCUGAAAACCUAGGUCUGUUCGACCUUUAAAUUUUUACAUGAUCUGA